rnacentral:rRNA from 1 species
CAGCCGCCGCGGUAAUACCAGCACCUCGAGUGGUCAGGAGGUUUAUUGGGCCUAAAGCAUCCGUAGCCGGUUGCAUAAGUUUUCGGUUAAAUCUAUGCGCUUAACGUAUAGGCCGCCGAAAAUACUGUGCAGCUAGGGAGUGGGAGAGGUACACGGUACCCGAUAGGAAGGGGUAAAAUCCUUUGAUCUAUUGAUGACCACCUGUGGCGAAGGCGGUGUACCAGAACACGUUCGACGGUGAGGGAUGAAAGCUGGGGGAGCAAACCGGAUUAGAUACCCGAGUAGUCCCUGUCUCUUAUAU